GGAGAUUUAUAUCAAUUGGUACGCCUACUCCACAGGAAGUCCUACAUUUUAGGAGUCUUUCUGCAAGGGAAUGGGUGAAGAUCCUUUGAUUCCAGGAUGAAAGGAAUGAAAACAGAUUGCUUGGGAGCCCUGCUUCCCAUAUUCUUUCGAAGGCACACAAUUCGGGUUGGGGAUGUGGACAACUGAUUUGAUGUUUAAAUACUGUGGUCUCCAUUUCUGUAACAUUCCCCUGGUUUCAUGACAUCAAAAAGCUAUGAAAGGCAUGG